rnacentral:siRNA from 1 species
UCACAAAAUCUAAACCCUAAC